rnacentral:misc_RNA from 1 species
GCAAACUUGGUCAUUUAGAGGAAGUAAAAGUCGUAACAAGGUUUCCGUAGGUGAACCUGCGGAAGGAUCAUUAUUGAAUCCUUAGGAUGUUGCUGGCCCCCUCUCUUGGGGGCAUGUGCACUCCGCCUUUUAAUACACCUGUGAACUCAUUGUAGGUGCAGAUGUAACAGUCUGUCGCCUAUGUUUUUUUAACACACUCUUAAAAUGUAUUAUGAAUGUUGAUAUAUGGCCUUUGAUGGUCAGCAAAUCUAAUACAACUUUCAACAAUGGAUCUCUUGGUUCUCGCAUCGAUGAAGAACGCAGC